UUUGCUUCAUUUCACCAGAUCAAGGUGUAGAAAUUAUUUUGGGACUGUAUCUUUUUCGUUAGACUGGCUAUGCAUUCAUUCACAAGUAUUCAAUAUGCUGGAACAAGUCUGGCUUGCAUGAAGUCAUUCUUGGAACUACUGGAAGAAAGCAAGGCACCUCUACAAAAGGGGCAAUAUACCCUUCUACUGAAUCAUCUUUAUGCAAGAAGCGAUUGUUGGAGUUGUUUUUGUCACUAAAGCAUGAAUUUGCAGCUGAGUGCCCAAUGAAUGAGAUUUCUUAUAGAGAAAUGAAGGUA